rnacentral:rRNA from 1 species
AUUGAACGCUGGCGGCAUGCCUUACACAUGCAAGUCGAACGGCAGCACGGGAGCAAUCCUGGUGGCGAGUGGCGAACGGGUGAGUAAUAUAUCGGAACGUGCCCGGUCGUGGGGGAUAACGUAGCGAAAGCUACGCUAAUACCGCAUACGAUCUACGGAUGAAAGCGGGGGAUCGCAAGACCUCGCGCGAUUGGAGCGGCCGAUAUCAGAUUAGGUAGUUGGUGAGGUAAAGGCUCACCAAGCCGACGAUCUGUAGCUGGUCUGAGAGGACGACCAGCCACACUGGGACUGAGACACGGCCCAGACUCCUACGGGAGGCAGCAGUGGGGAAUUUUGGACAAUGGGCGCAAGCCUGAUCCAGCAAUGCCGCGUGCAGGAUGAAGGCCUUAGGGUUGUAAACUGCUUUUGUACGGAACGAAACGGUGAGCUCUAAUACAGCUUGCUAAUGACGGUACCGUAAGAAUAAG